CAUCCAUCACGACCGGCUGAGGGACAGGCCCGACGACGCCGGGGCAACCUCCCGCGGGGCAACCCGUGGGGAUGGUGCCACGUCCUGCGGGGGCCUCGCGGCCCACCGGAAGAUGGGUC
rnacentral:ncRNA from 2 species